rnacentral:lncRNA from 1 species
UUGUAACCGUCACUUCUGUCUUGAGUAGUUAAAAGAUAGAACAGUCUAGCCAAGUGCCAUGUCUCUUAUUCUUGAUCAGCUAUAGCUCUAAAGUUUUUGCAGAUUUUCAAAUAAAACUCAGAGAUUCCUUGUAUGAUUCUCUCAAAUCUCUCUUUUGUGGUAUUUCUGGAUCCUUACCAAGGCAGUGAUGGUAUAUGCCUUUUCUCAAGAUAUGUAGUAUUUGUGGUAUGAAGCAUAAUGACAUUGCCUUCUCUCUCACCCUACUCUAAUACGGCUUUAAUAUCUGGAGCUCAUAGGUGGGAGAUAAAAUAUACAUACUUACAAGACAUUUAUUGCAUAGUCAAACCAUAGAUUCAAAGAAACAAAUCAAUAAGUUUAAUCAAGAUGUGCAUGUGUGGCGAAUGAAUGGUGUAUGGUGAUGAUGGUGGUAACAAUGGUGAAAGUCUAAUUAUACUUUUGCUCUUUUGAGGGGAUACAUACCUUCCUUGCUUUCUGAAACUUUAUGAGGAGAAUGAGAUGCUCUAUAUUUUUCUUUUCUCUCAGGUGGGUAUCUUGUACCCCUAAUUCUACUGUCGGACACUUGUCUAUUUUUACCUCUCGUCUCACUCUUUUUCUUUUCUUUCGAGGUUCUGAGUACUUGCUCCUUUUUAUUUCCUCGUAUCUCUUUUUUUUAGAGCACUCAUCUCUUGAGAUAAUAUAGCAAGUGGUAGUAACAACAUAACUUGAGCAUUUAUUUCAAAGGGGGAAACAGAAAUAUUUUUGGUUAUUCUCUCCCGGAUUAGGAGUAGAAUAUUUUUAGGUGGUUCUAGAGAUGAGAAUGGGUGGAUAUAUGUGGAUGGUACUUCCGGAGUAGAAGUAGCAUGUAUGAGUGAACGUGCAAGUGAAAUCUUGAUUUAACCACAUGACAAGCUCCUAAGGGUCUACACAGCUUGACCACACUCAAUGCUCAUAAGCAGUAAAUAGUAAAUGUGUGGCUCAAAGUCUAGCAAGCAUGUAUAUAUGGUUGUGGUAGGAAUUUAAACUCUCAUCAUACAGAAACUCAUCAUGCAAUAUUUUAAAGAUUUUCAAAGAUAAAAUUCUCCAGAAUUCUAGCAUCUCUAGGAACAGAUAAAUAGCAGCUCAACCUUCCCAUAUCGUAUCCGUUAACAACUUAGACUUCAGAUCAAGUUUUCAUCCCACAAGUUUAGGUCUAGAGCAAGCUUUAAAUUAUAACAGUUAUGUCUAAACUUGAGAGAGAACUUAAAAUGUGCAAAUUAGGCAGAGCAACUAUUCGUCAUAUCCAUGCUUGAGUUUUAUUAUUAAGAUACAGAUUAGCAUAGCCUCUUUAUUUAUUUAUUAAACAUACUAAGCAAAAUAUAUAUAUAUAUAAGCAUAAAAUCUUUAUUUGAUUUUUCCUGGUUUAUGUAUAUUUAUAUUUUAAUAUAGUAUAAGUAUAAAGAUAGAUAGAUAGAAAUACUUAUUGAGAUAAAUGGGAGUGCUCUCCCCCAGCUGAAUUUUGACGUAAUUUCUCUUGAUGUAGCUAGCAGGUGGCAGAGGUGUAUUUGAAAGUCAGCAGCAUUCUGACAGCGAUUAGAAUGUCCUCCGUCUGCUAGUCUUCUUGAUUCUUAAAUCCUGUGGAGCUCAAAUAGACAACAAAGCUUGUGGAACUGAUUAAGUGUUAGCGUAAAUAUCUAGCCUUUAUCAUGUUGAGACUCCUUAAUAAUUAUUACUCCCUGUUUUUGUAUUUUUAUUUUAUAAAGCAGAAAAAUAUUUAUUUUAUUUUUAUGCCACCACAGUGAAUGUACUUAUGGGUUUCAUGCCACUCGUAUACUCACAUGGGGCUUACUGUUUUUCACAUUUUUAUUUUUUUUUAGAUAGCAGGAACAUGAUUAACUAAGCAAACUGUUUAAAAUAAUUGAAAGGGAAAAUAUAACUACCAAGUUUACCUCUUGGCAAGGGAAAAUAUAGCAGGAACAUGUUUUUAAGUUUUGUGCAAAGGUUGCGAGAUGUUAAGAAUAAAUGCUAUAGUCUGGUUCUGGAUGAUCGGCUGCUAGCCGAUUUGGCUUUCCAAGGAUUGUUGCCACACAUUAAAGGCAAGUAUGCUUCUCAAGAGUUUGAAAGUCUGAGUCAUUUAGUGUAGAGGAUUUCUGACCAAGAUAUCCAAGCUCAGAUUCUGAUGAAGAACCACUCAUUGGCUUGGUGUUGGGUAUUCUUAACAUCAUUACCAAAAGUAGACAAUUCCUAAUUCUAGUAACGGUGCCAAAAAUGCCAAACCUAACCCUCACACCACUUAAGCCAAGUUGUCAUCCCCAGCAUGAUAUGAGAGACGCGGUAUUGAAAUAUGCAACUGCUCUUCUAAAUAAAUAAUGAAUGGGAUCUGCAAGCGCACAGAUUAAUACCGAUGUAGCAUUUUAACCGGGAAGUAUUCCAGGUAUCGUUAUUUAUAUUUUUACCACUGGGAAGGGAUUAGCAAUCAUCAAUAUUGAUUAUAGAAUAGAAUAUGAGAUUGAGUAUCUAUCAUUGCAUGUAUAAUUGAGAACAUUUAUCUAACUCUUUCAUACAGGGGUAAGUGUCACAUAAAAGAUAUAUGAAAUAAUGAAUAGUGACAAAGAUAAUUAAUCUGAUCAUAACUAGCCACAUAAUAAAUAUGAUAAUCACCUCAAUUAGAUACUCUAGAAAGUCAUUAGCAUGGAAUUAGAACGAACUACAAGAAUAUUUCCUAAGUUAUUCCCAACUAUAUAGUCUAGCAUUAUCAUAAUUAGUGCAAGCAUACUUAGCAAUCAUUGUGAGACAAGACUACGCCCAUGCAUAGUGAUAUUAGGAAGUAAUAUGAGAAACAUAGCAAUCACUCCCCUGUAAUAAUGUUGCUCUGCCAGCCCAAUACACGGGAGGGGGACUAUAUAAGAAUCAAUGAAGCUGUCACUAUCACGAACUACCCCAUGAUCUAGCAUAUUGGGUACAAUCGCAGAUAAAUACGGUAUAAGCACCACGCCUACACAAUAUCUAUCAUUUACCCAUGGAUCCGAUGGAUAAACGCUAUACGAUCAUAAGCAUGUAUAUAGAUCCAAUCUAACUAAGCCAAGUACAUAACUAUGAUAAACUAAGAACAAUAUAAUCCUGAAUAUAAACAAGUAGAGCAAAGUCAUAAGCAAUAUAUUGAAGUAGAACAAAGUCAUAUUCAUAAUAUUGAAGAACAAAGAUAAUUAGAAAGCAAUUAGAACCACAAUUAGAGAAUUACCAAGAAUCCUCUUGACAGAUCCGAAAACCAAUCGAAGACUGACUCCUUCUAGUUCUAAUCCUAUGUAGCUAUGCUAAUCUAGAUGUCUAAUUGAUGUGGUGGCAAUAAUCUUGAUCAGGGG